rnacentral:lncRNA from 1 species
AACUUUAUUAAAUAGCAUUUGAGCACAAGAUACAUUCUUAAACAUUUUGAAAAACAUUAACCCAGAAUGUAGGAGUCAUCACUCUACAAUCUGAUAAUUUACUGAGUAUUUGAAAUGAAUGAUUAAUGCCCUAGGAAAUAGCUUUAGCAAAUGUCCAGGUGCCACACCAGAAAAAGUGCAAUAAUUUACUGACAGUUUUCUAGACUAGGCUUAUUAUUGGAGUACAACAUUAUGAAGAGUGCAUAUUGUAUACAGCAUCACUUAAGAAUAUCCACUUAUGAAAUCAGAUCUAUAGUAGAAGUCUUGGAUAGUAAACAGGGACUCUAAUACAGAUACUCUUAAUA